rnacentral:rRNA from 1 species
AUGAUGAAGCUAGUAAGAGCAUACGGUGGAUGCCUUGGCAUCAGGAGGCGAUGAAGGACGUGGUCAGCUGCGAAAAGCCCAGACGAGUUGCGACGGACAUUGACUCUGGGAUAUCCGAAUGGGGAAACCCGGCCGCGAAGGCGGUCAGUCCUAAUAGGACGGCGAACGGGGGGAACUGAACCAUCUAAGUACCCCUAGGAAGAGAAAUCAAAAGAGAUUCCCUAAGUAGUGGCGAGCGAACGGGGAAGAGCCCAAACCGGCAGUAGAGAUAUUGUCGGGGUUGUAGGGCGCUCCAUAUGGAACUGUGAGAUGAAUUUGAAUCUGUUGGGAAGCAGACGCCAGAGAAGGUGAAAGCCCUGUAGAAGUAAGUUGAGCAGUUUCGGAGCGUACCUGAGUACCGCGGGGCCAGAGAAACCCUGCGGGAAUCCGGGUGUACCAUCACCCAAGGCUAAAUACUACCUGAUGACCGAUAGUGAACAAGUACCGUGAGGGAAAGGUGAAAAGCUCCCCGACGAGGGAGGUGAAAUAGAACCUGAAACCGUAUGCUUACAAGUAGCGGGAGCACCAUGGCGCAAGCCGGUGUGACCGUGUGCCUUUUGCAUAAUGAGCCUGCGAGUUACCGUAGCAAGUGAGGUUAAGCCGAUAGGUGGAGCCAGAGCGAAAGCGAGUCUGAAUAGGGCGAUAAAUUUGUUGCGGUAGACCCGAAACUGAGUGAUCUAUCCAUGUCCAGGAUGAAGUUUGGGUAACACCAAAUGGAGGUCCGAACUCACUAACGUUGAAAAGUUAGGGGAUGAGGUGUGGAUAGGAGUGAAAGGCUAAACAAACUCAGAGAUAGCUGGUUCUCCUCGAAAUGUAUUUAGGUACAGCCUCGGACGAAUGUUAUCGGAGGUAAAGCACUGAAUAGGCUAGGGCUCACACCAGGGUACCAAACCUAAUCAAACUCUGAAUGCCGAUAAACAAUAUCCGGGAGUGAGUCUGCGAGAGCUAAGUUUUGCGGACGAGAGGGAAAGAGCCCAGACCAUCAGCUAAGGUCCCCGAGUUAGUACUAAGUGGAAAAGGAUGUGGAAGCGCAUAGACAACCAGGAGGUUGGCUUAGAAGCAGCCAUCUUUUAAAGAAAGCGUAAUAGCUCACUGGUCGAGUGAGUCUGCGCCGAAAAUUCAACGGGGCUAAGUACUACACCGAAGCUGUGGGUCCAAUGGACGGUAGAGGAGCAAUCCUUGGGAGCAAGCCAUACCGGAAGGAGUGGUCGUGGCCCAAGGAUGAGCAUAUGCAGGCAUGAGUAGCGAUAAAAAAAGUGAGAAACUUUUUCGCCGUAAGCCCAAGGUUUCCUGGGUCAAGCUAAUCUUCCCAGGGUUAGUCGGCCCCUAAGCCGAGGCUGAAAAGCGUAGGUGAUGGGAAGCAGGUUAAUAUUCCUGCACCACUUUUGUAGUACUGCAUAGGAAGGACGGAGAAAGGCAAUGCCAGCGGGGAUGUGGAAUACCCGUUCAAGCUUGUAGGUGGAUUUCCGAGGAGUCCUCGUGACACAAACCGGAGAUUAACACCGAGAAGUAAUGAAGAGAGGCCCUAGGCCUCACGAAUUGGCUGUCCCUUGGCUUCCAAGAAAAGUUUCGAUGCGGGUUUGAUGACAGAAGUGACCGUACCGGAAACCGACACAGGUGGGCGAGUAGAGUAUACUAAGGCGCUUGAGAAAACUCUGGUUAAGGAACUAGGCAAAUUAACACCGUAACUUCGGGAAAAGGUGUGCCCCUAUUAGGUUUAGACGUACAGUCGACGCCGAGGGGGGUCGCAGCGAAGCGGGGGUAGCGACUGUUUACCAAAAACAUAGGACUCUGCAAACUCGGAAGAGGAAGUAUAGGGUCUGACGCCUGCCCGGUGCUGGAAGGUUAAGGGGAGUGGUCAGCCGCAAGGCGAAGCCAUGAGCCGAAGCCCCAGUAAACGGCGGCCGUAACUAUAACGGUCCUAAGGUAGCGAAUAAACGGCGGCCGUAACUAUAACGGUCCUAAGGUAGCGAAAUUCCUUGUCGGGUAAGUUCCGACCUGCACGAAUGGCGUAACGACUUCCCCACUGUCUCAACCAGAGACUCAGCGAAAUUAAAAUAGGGGUGAAGAUGCCCCUUACCCGCGGAAAGACGGAAAGACCCCGUGAACCUUUACUAUAACUUGGCACUGAUUUUCGGGCUGAAUUGUGUAGGAUAGGUGGGAGGCUUUGAAGCCGGGACGCCAGUUUCGGUGGAGCCAACCUUGAAAUACCACCCUGUUCAGUCUGGAAAUCUAACCUGCACGUGUUAUCCACGUGGGGGACACUGCCUGGUGGGUAGUUUGACUGGGGCGGUCGCCUCCGAAAGCGUAACGGAGGCUCACGAAGGUUCCCUCAGGCUGAUUGGAAACCAGCCGUAGAGUGUAAAGGCAUAAGGGAGCUUGACUGCGAGACAAACAAGUCGAGCAGGUGCGAAAGCAGGUCUUAGUGAUCCGGUGGUUCUGUAUGGAAGGGCCAUCGCUCAAAGGAUAAAAGGUACUCCGGGGAUAACAGGCUGAUCUCCCCCAAGAGUUCACAUCGACGGGGAGGUUUGGCACCUCGAUGUCGGCUCAUCGCAUCCUGGGGCUGGAGCAGGUCCCAAGGGUUUGGCUGUUCG